rnacentral:rRNA from 1 species
ACGACUACAUUAGAUACCCCCGUAGUCCUAGCCGUAAACGAUACUCGCUAGGUGUCGGCCACGGUGCGACCGUUGUCGGUGCCGUAGGGAAGCCGUGAAGCGAGCCACCUGGGAAGUACGGCCGCAAGGCUGAAACUUAAAGGAAUUGGCGGGGGAGCACAACAACGGGUGGAGCUUGCGGUUUAAUUGGAUUCAACGCCGGAAAUCUUACCGGGACCGACAGCAACAUGAAGGCCAAGCUGAAGACUUUGCCGGAUUAGCUG